rnacentral:ncRNA from 2 species
AAAUUGAAGAGUUUGAUCAUGGCUCAGAUUGAACGCUGGCGGCAGGCCUAACACAUGCAAGUCGAGCGGUAGCACAGAGAGCUUGCUCUCGGGUGACGAGCGGCGGACGGGUGAGUAAUGUCUGGGAAACUGCCUGAUGGAGGGGGAUAACUACUGGAAACGGUAGCUAAUACCGCAUAAUGUCGCAAGACCAAAGUGGGGGACCUUCGGGCCUC